rnacentral:lncRNA from 1 species
CCUGGCUAGCGUCUAGUGUCUCGGGCUAGAAAUAGGAACCGUUACCGUCGUACCUCGAGUAGAUUUCAGCCUUUCCUCCUAGAUGCUGUUUUCAUCAUUAUCCCCAUUCUACAGAUAAGAACACAGAGGCACAGAAAGUUUAACUUUUGGAGUUGGCAGGUGGGGAGGCAGAAUUUGAACCUCAACGUUGGACUUGAAAGCCCACACUCGGCCGGGCGCGGUGGCUUAAACCUGUAUUGUCGGCACUUUGGGAGGCCGAGGCGGGCGGAUCACCAGGUCAGGAGAUCGAGACCAGCCUGGCCAACACGGUGAAACCCCAUCUUUACUAAAAAUACAAAAAAUAGCCGGGCAUGGUGGCGCGCGCCUGUAAUCCCAGUUAGGAGGCUGAGGCAGGAGGAUCGCUUGAACCCCGGAGGCGGAGGUUGCAGUGAGCCGAGAUGGCGCCAUUGCACUCCAGCCUGGGCGACAGAGCGAGACUCCGUCUCAAAAAAAAAAAAAAGAAAAGAAAAGAAAAAAAAGAAAAAGCCCACACUCUUACUAGGUUAGCACGGAGGGGCGGGCGCCUUGGCACUCAGAUCUUACGGUCGCAGAGCAUAAUUGCCCAACCAACCGCCCAAAGAAAAAUAACAAGCGGCGGGGGGUUGGGGAGGGAGGAGGGCCGACGUGGACCACCUCUGGCUUAGCUCAAACCCCCUGAAAUCUCGCAAACGCAGCUAGCACUCAGGCUCGAGCUCCUCCCGGUUCC